GCACUAAUGGGGUAGUGGUAACCUGGGUCGUUGCCAUACGAGUAUUGACUCGACCCGCCGGGGGUUCGAUUCCCCCUUAGUGCA
rnacentral:tRNA from 1 species